UACGUAGGGGGCUAGCGUUGUCCGGAAUCAUUGGGCGUAAAGAGCGUGUAGGCGGCCCGGUAAGUCCGCUGUAAAAGUCAAAGGCUCAACCUUUGAAUGUCAGUGGAUACUGCCGGGCUAGAGUCCGGAAGAGGCGAGUGGAACUCCUGGUGUAGCGGUGGAAUGCGCAGAUAUCAGGAGGAACACCGGUGGCGAAGGCGGGAUCCUGGGCCAGUACUGACGCUGAGGAGCGAAAGCGUGGGGAGCAAACAGG
rnacentral:rRNA from 1 species